rnacentral:rRNA from 1 species
AUGGGUGCCGCCGCGUCCGCUGCGUGGCGGACGGCGGCGGAAGGCUCCGGGGCCGAGGAGCAGGAGUGCCGCAUCUGCCGCCACCCCGCCGAGCCGGGGCGCCCGCUGCGCCACCCCUGCGCCUGCCGCGGCAGCAUCCGCUUCGUCCACGACGACUGCCAGCUCCGCUGGCUCGCUGCCACCAGCCAGUGCCACUGCGAGGUAUGCGGACACGAGAUCUCCAUCCGCCCCAUCUACGGCGCGGAUGCCCCGGCCCUGGCAAGGCUUGCGAGCCUCAUCGUACUGCCGCUGUGCCUCGUGCUGACGGCCAAGAUCGUCUGGACGCUCACCGGCCUCUACCUAUGGCGCCUCGCGCUCGCCGGCAGCCGCGCCGAGGCCUUCCGUCUGCUCACCGUCUGCUCCUGCCGACCCGCCGCGCUCUCUCAGCUCGUGCUCUCGGCGGAAAACGCGCUCCGCGCAAAAUACGGAGGACGCCGGGGCCGCUGCCAGGUCCUCGCGCUGCGCCUCCUUCAGUUCUCCUUCUUGGUGGCAUCGGUUGACAUGGUUCUGGCCUGUACAUUGGCAUUUAUCCCUGUCACACUUGGAAGGAUGAUCCUGUUGUGCAUAGGUGAAGUCGACUCCUUUACUUCAACACCUCCUAUCCUCCUCAUUGGAUACGGGUUUAUCUUCUCACUGGGUGUGACUUUCACCGGGGUUCUUCAUACUACUGGGGGCGUCUUCCAGAGAUUCGACAGGGGCUUCCGCGCGCUCAGCGAUUUCGUGGAGCAGUUCUGGGAUUUCUACGUCCUUGAUCUCUAUAAUUAUGUCGUGGAUGAGCGUAUUGUCAUCGGACAAAGGUUGGAAGACAUCGCCGACGGUAGGUGA